AUUUAGAACCCACUCAGGGAUAAUGGCUCGUGUCGACAUUGCCAUUAAGAAUGAAUGGGGGAUUUUAAGCCACAAAUUUGCUAAUUACACAAAAACGCUAAAUGUUAUGAACAAAAAAAAUGGUAGCAAGCGUGACAUGAAUUUUUGGAACGUGUGAAAGUUUGAACGGGGUGAAUCAGAAAAUUUUAACUCUUCCCAAUGAAAAGCGCAACUGCACCCCAUCCAACCCGAACUGUGACAAAAAACAAUGUAGGCAAAUGGACAGCAUUGGCAAAAUAAAAUCUUUAUUUGCAAAUUUCGACCACUUCACCCUCCGAAUAAAUGAGUUUAAGUGGGAGUCCAUCUUGUGGUAAUUUUGGUGGCUCAACGAAAGUCUUGCUCCAUACACUCAAGGCAAUUGUGGUUUCAACACCCUCCCCAUCCACCAACUUGACCUCCUCCUCCUCAAUCAUUACCCCUAUAGCCACCAAGUUUACAGUUGCAUCGUAGCCCUAGGGAAUAAAAACACAAUUAGGUUUACUCAGGUGAAAACUGAGAACAAUUAUAGAACUCAAAGGUCACAAAUAACUCCAUAAAGAUAAAGGUCAAUUCAUCACAGUCACAUCACAUGCAAUUACUAAUUCAUAAAAUCCUUCCAUUAUCUGUACCGUUUUGUCCCCACCAGGGGGGGCUGUUUGUAGACACGCUGGUCACAAUUCAACAGCCUUUCUCAUA